UACAGAGGCCUCGAGCGUUGUUCGGAAUUACUGGGCGUAAAGGGAAUGUAGGUGGUGACGUAAGUCAGAUGUGAAAGCCCUGGGCUUAACCUGGGAAGUGCAUUUGAUACUGCGUUGCUUGAGUACGAAAGAGGAAAGCGGAAUUCCCAGUGUAGGAGUGAAAUCCGUAGAUAUUGGGAGGAAUACCGAUGGCGAAGGCAGCUUUCUGGUUCGUAACUGACACUGAGAUUCGAAAGCGUGGGUAGCAAACAGG
rnacentral:rRNA from 1 species